UCUUUGGCUUGGCAUGGACUCUUGGCUUGGCUGCUUGGCUUCUUUCGUUUCCUCCUCUGUGCAUCGUACAUAAGCGAACAGCUGUUAUGUUGUUGCUAAGCCGGAAACAAAGCAUGUGAAUGUUUUUUUUUUUUUGGCACAGCGUCGUUUGGAAAGUGCACUUCCUUGUUCUGACCUUGCCUUUUAUGGGCUGGAGCGAUAUGAUUCGUAAAUAUGCCACGGCGAAGUUGUCGAAGAUGCGAGAGUACUACGCUGUUAGAACAAUUCAUCGGUGCAUUCAAGUGUUACCUAUUAUAAGCUGCCAAAAGACCAAGCAGUGCGAAGCUCUUGGCUGACAGUGGUGCCUGCUAAUUUCCACUGCAAGGAUUUCGUCCACGAAUGUUAUCAUAGGUUACGCGCGACUCCAGAGGCAAUUUGGAAUCUUGGCACGAAAUCGUCUGAUGAAAAUCCGAGGUGCCCGACGCAUAACAUUUUGAACGUGCCACGGAGGAUCAAGGCAAAAAACGAGAGCAAAAAAUGGUGCACGCUGAAGGCGGAAAUGAAGCAUGAUCUGGCUUGCAUCUGGUCAUGAAGAAAUUGCUGACACGUUAGUUGCAAUCCACCUCCACCAACAGACAUUUUGACACCACUUUUAAAUCUGCCCUCAAAGUUACAACCUGUGCUUCGAGGGUGGAAAACAAAGAUCGCCAUUCCGAUUAGCUGCUAUCUCCCAGUUCAAGCACUUUUGUGUCUGGACACUGGUUCCUGUGGAUGGGGUGUUACAAGCUUUACUGUCUGAUAUAGAAGUGAUGAGCAUCCAUAAGGACACAUGCCAGAAAGGGAGUCUCUUUGGGAUGACAAACCCUCAUCACCUCAUGAGGAUACAAUGGUUGACGAAUGGUUCUCAAGCACAUCGAAACUUCAAACAAAUAAUUCAUGAAAAAGCCAGUCAGUGCUAGCACCAGGAAUUGAACGUGGGCCAUCCUGCUACCAGUCAGAGAUGUUCAGUGGUGUAGCCAC